GAGAGUUAUAUGUUUACUUUUACACCAUUUCAGCAUUGUACCCUAUUUUCAUGCCACCAUGGAAGGGCUUCGUAUUGGAGCACCAAUUGUGCAGGUUUAUCAUGAGAAAUCGUUUAUCUUACCUGAUGUUUCAAGGGUGCUUGCUUGCCUUUAUGAGAAGGAUGUCAAGUUUGAGACUCACACAGCCUCAUACAGGAGCCUACUCAGAUUGCAGGCAUCAUCUCAUGCUCCAGUUCCAUUCUAUGAUGGCCCUACUUUUCUAGAAGAAUCCAGAGAAAUCUGCCGUUAUAUAGCAGAAAAGUAUGAAAAUCAAGGAUAUUCAUUCCUCCUUGGAAAGGAUGCCCUUGAGAGGGCUUCAGUUGAACAAUGGCUCCACAACGAGGAGCAUGCUUUCAACCCUCCGAGCCGGGCCUUGUUCUGUCAUUUGGCCUUUCCCUUGGGUGAAGAAGAUGAUGAUAUUGAUGUUCAUACAAGGAAGCUAGAAGAGGUUCUGGAAGUUUAUGAGCAAAGGCUCAGUGACAGCGAAUUCCUUGUUGGAAACAAGUUCACUCUUGCCGACCUUGUUCACCUGCCAAAUUCCCACUAUAUCAAAGCAUCUAACAAGUUUCUUUACCUUUAUGAUUCGAGGAAAAAUGUAAGGAGGUGGUGGGAUGCUAUUUCUGACCGGAGUUCUUGGAAGGAAGUGCUGAGGUAUAUGAAGAACGUGGAGGAGAAGAACAAACAAGAAGAACUCAAGAAGCAGCAGCAGCAGCAGGAAGAGGCUCCUUCCACCGACCCAAUUCGGGUAGACUCGAGAAAGCAGAGCAGAACAGAGCCUCGGACAAUAUUGGUUCCUCCUGCUGAUAAUGAGUCAUCAGCUUCCAUAGUUCCUCGAACAAAGAAGCCUCUUCCUGGUGAUCACUUAGUGUCUACUCAACAAGGAAAAUCAAGAAAAAAUGUGCAUCAGUACCCAUCACAAGAUUCAGAACUGGCAACCUCACAUUCUGUUCCUCAAGAACCAAUGAGCAUGGAAUUGGUUCAAGAACGAGAAAGGACGACUCGAAGACCCUACACUGAUCAGAGUCAAGAUGUCUUCAAAGAGGCAAAGGUUGCUAAGUCUACACCAUCUAGUGCAAAACCUAUGUACCCUCAACAACCUGCUCCUACUUCAGGGCAUGGAGAAGUGGAAGAUACUUGGGACAAAGGGGUGAAAGGUAGAGAAACUGUUCCUGACCGACAACAAAUGUUGCAAAAAUGGGCAGGUACAGCCAGAGAGCAAGUUUCUGAUCGUUGGAAAGCAAGUCCUCCAUCAAGACAGGCUGCAGCUGAAGAUGUUCGUGGUGCCACUGGUGAUACAACACAGUCUGCAGAUGUUCUUGACACUUCCAAGAAAUCUAGAGGUGCCUAUGAAGAAGCUAAAGGCCCUGGCUCUGUUAAGGAGGAGAAGACAUCCUCUAUUUACAAGAAGAAGCCUCUGGUGGCACAAGACAGUCAGGAGCAAGCUCAAACUAUCCCAGCUGGUGAGAAAACAGAUAGUUCUAUACAAAAGCAUCAACAAGCUUCGGAUGCCCCAAAUACUUUUGUUGAGAAAUUAAAUGCUUCAGAACCAGCAAGAGUAAAAACUCACAGUGACUUCAGUGCUGAACAGCCAUAUAGAAAAGACACCACUGAUGACCAGAAAGUGAUACCACCUCUUUCGACUAGAGAACUAACUUCCCAAGUCCAACCUCCCUCUAAACCAUCGUAUGAUGAGAAGCCAACACCAAUGAGUCAGCAAAAAUCUGAUAAGCAAAGAGUGGAACCUCCAAUACAAAUAGAAGCAGAAAUAUCUGGUGUUCAACAUGCUUCACCAUCAUUUCCAAGAGCUUCCAUGGAUGAUCGUGCCACUAUCGGUGAUAAGUUUGCCAUGCAGUCAAUUAUUGAUGAAAGAGUUGGAGAACCAACACAAAUGCAAACAUCAAGUCCAGAUGCUCAUCCUGCUUCAUUACCUACUAAGAGAGAAACUCCUGAAGGUCAUGAAAUUGGUGAUUUAGGGCUUGCCAGUACACCUGGUGGCCAAAUAUCAGAAGCAAAAAAAGUGGGAGAUGACCCAGACACAGUCCAUGGAGAUGUUUAUUAUGUCAAUUUGUCAACUCAAGAUGUGGGCAAGGAUGCCUUCAAAGAACCAACGGUCACUGACUCUUUACCAUCUAGUGCCCAACCGAUUCAGAAAUCUGCUAUUACUCCAUCAAGGCAAACACAAGUUGAAGAAGCUAGGGAUAAAAGCAUGCAAAGUAGAGAAACUAUUCCUGAACAACACAAAAUGGUGGAAAGGAAGACAGGUACACCUGGAGAGCAAUUAUCAGAACGCCAGAAGGAGAUUCGUCCAUCAAGACAGUCAGCAGCUGAGGAUGCUCCAAUAAGUGAUGCAAUACAGCCUCCAGACAUCCUUGACACUCCCAAGAAAUCUAGAGCCACCUUUGAAGAAUAUAUAGGUCCUGGAUCUACAUUGCCCAAAGCACAAAUUUUGGAUGCUCAAGAUUCUCAGGUCACCAAAGGAGAAUCUACAGUGCCAACUACUGACCAAAGGAAGGACUGGAAAUAUGAAAAAGAUGAUGAAACCAUCGUGACUGAAGAAAAGUCACUAUCAACAGAGCGAUCUAGGGAGAUGUUCCAGGAAAGUGCAUCUACUGCACCUAAGACACAUCUUACCGAUUCUGGGGGCUCUAAUGCACUGGAAAAAACAUCCUCUGUUUAUCAUAAGGGUCCUCUGGUUGCCCAAGACAGCCAGGAGGAAGCUCAAGUCAUCCCAGCUGAUGAGAAAGUAGAUGGUUCUGCAUCAGAGCAUCAUGAAUCCUCUGGUACUCCAUACAGUUACAAUGAAAAAUUAAGUGCUUCAGCACCAGCCAGAGGAGAUAUUCAUGAUGGUCACAGUGCAGAAGAGCAACAUAAAAAUUACACUGCCGAUGAUCAGAAAGUGGCUCCAUCUCUAUCAAACAAAGAACCAGCAUCCCAAGUGCAACCUGCCUCUGAACCAUUACAAAGAGCAGUUCCUGAUGGGGAUUUGCCUAGCAAAUCAUUCACCAUUGAUCAAUGGCAACGCAUGGCUGCUUCAUUACAUGGUGUAAUUAUGGAUUCUGCUGAUGAUGAGGCAGCCAUAUCUCUUAACAAUGAUCAAAAGUCAAGACCCAUGAAUCAAGAAGCAGCUCCAAGUUCACAGAGUGUCAAUCAGAUGGCCAAACAAUCUGGUGAGCAAAGGGUCGAACCACCUGUACCAAUUGUUGUAGAAGCAUCUGAUGUUAGACGUGCUGCACCAUCACUCCCAGAAGCUGCCAGAACUGAUGUUGCCACUAUCAGUGAUAAAUUUACUGAGCAGUCCAACAUUGAUGAAAGGGUGGGGAAACCAAAACAAAUGCAAGCACCAAUUACAUCUGCUCAUCCUGCUUCAAAAGGUACCUUGAGAAGAACUCCUGAUAGUCAUGAAGCUGGUGAGCUUCUCAGCACAUAUGAGGGUCAAAGAUUAGAGGCUGCAAAAGCUUCACAAGAUCCUGCCACAAUCCACGAAGAUGUUUAUGAUGCCAGUUUGUCAACUAAUGAUGUGGCUGUUGAUAAAAAGACAGCAACAGAUCAUGCUAUUGGUGAUGAGGUUGUCACAAGAUCUUUACAUGAUCAGCAGACACCGCGACCUGCAUCAACUCAAGCACAGCCAACUGCUGAGGCUCCACAAGACUCUGAUUCAUUCCAAUAUGUACGUACUGGUGACGUGGGAAAAACUGAAUUGGCAAAACCAACUGUAACUGAUCAAGAAGCAACAGCGCCUGCAGCUGGCCCAACAUCAGUCGAUCCCCAACGUGCUAACAUCAUACCAGCUGGAGUUGCCCAUUCUGAACAGAAAUCCACUCCACCAGAUAAAGGAUCAGCUCGUGUUGCACAACCUCCUACCCCUGUUGAACCAAUAAAGGAAGACGGUAAUGUUUCUGCAGCUAAUUAUACUAAUGAGCUGCAAAUGAGUUUUCAGCAACAGGCCAGAUCAUCUGCACCAACCACAAUAGGAAUUCCAGCCUCAGAUACCCAGAGUGUUAUAGGGAAAAUCCAGGUGGUAACUCCGGAUAAACAUGGCACUGAUGACUCAGGAAAACCAUUUGAUCUAAAUCAAGGACAUGUUUCACACGCAUCACAAGCAAUCCUUGGUCAAGAAGAACUGACAUCUCCACAAGGCGCAAGAGUUUUUCCAACGUCAGAUACCCAACAAAAUUUUGCUGCAUCAGAUGAAAAAUCUGAUAAGGCCUCAAAAUCAUUUGACUCUGCUGAACCAAGGGAAGAAGAUACAGAUGCUGCCACUGCUGACCAAACGACUGUACCACCGACAGAUGUUACUCGUCAGGUCACAAUCUCGACACCAGAUGCUAGUGACAGUGUAUCAAGGGAUCAGGAAUCCUCUCCUGACGAUAGUCAGACCAGAAAUUUGGGGAGCCCACUUAUUGCUAGUCAAGAAGAAGCCUCUCGUGCCGGAGGUGAAGGAUCUACUCCUGAAGUGCAUAGUACCAUUGUAGAUGAGAAGAAGACACUUCCAUCUAGCCAAGCACAAUCUUCAAGCACUGGGCCUGAUUCAAUACAAAUUGGUGGUGAUGCUCGUCUUAGUGAUGCUGGUGUGCCAGCCACAAGCUCUAUAGAGAAGCAAGAGGCAGAACCUCCUGCAGAAACACAAGCACCAACUUCUAAGGGUCUACAAGACUCUGGAAGUAUCGAGUCACCAAGACAAGCCUUAACUGAUCAAACCGUGGCACCUGCGAUGAACUCAGUGGCACCAUCCGAUUCUCCAGAAGGUCCAAAUUCUUCUCGAUCUGUACAGACCCCUUAUCAACAAGCCAUUACAAAAGGAGACACUGUUGUUACUGCAGCUGAUCAAGCCGAGAACAUGCAAACAAUAACUUAUCAACAAGCCAUUACACCUGUUCCAUACACAGCUAAACCUUCAUUCCCAGGUGCUCAGGAUGCAUCAAGGCAGGAAACUAUUCCUGAUGAGGGGCCAAUGGAAAAUUAUUCUCCUAAACCUGGAGCACAGACACAGCCACCUGCAGCAACUCUAGAUGUAUCACCCUAUGCCUCGAGCAAGGUUAAAUCAACUGGGCAAGGAGCCAAGCCACCAACAGGGCACCAAGCAUCUUCUCCAGAAACUCAGCUUGGUUCCUCACAACCAGGCGAAGAUGCCCCAGCAGUACAAAAAAUUGCUGCAUCAGAUGAAAAAUCUGCCACGGCCUCAAAACCAUUUGACUCUGCUGAACCAAGGGAAGAAGAUACUGAUGCUGCCACUGCUGACCAAAUGACUGUACCACCGACAAAUGUUACUCGUCAGGUCACAAGCUCAACACCAGAUGUUGGUGACACUUUAUCAAGAGAUAAGGAAUCAUCUCCUGAUGAUGAUCAGAUCAGAAAUUUGGGGAGCCCACUUAUUGCUAGCCAAGAAGAAGCCUCUCGUGCUGGAGGUGAAGGAUCUACUCCUAAGGUGCAUAGUGCCAUUGUAGAUGAAGAGAGAACACUUCCAUCUAGGCAUGAUGCACAAACUUCAAGCACUGAGACUGAUUCAACACAAAUUGAUGGUGAUGCUCGUCUUAGUGGUGUUGGUAUGCCAGCCACAAGCUCUAUGGAGAAACAAGAGGCAGAACCUCCUACAGAAACACAAGAGCCAACUUCUAAGGGUCUACAAGACUCUAGAAAUAUUGAGUCACCAAGACAAGCCUCAACUUAUAAAACCGUGACACCUGCGAUGAACUCAGCAGCACCAUCCGAUGCUCUAGAAGGUCCAAAUUCUUCUCGAUCUGUACAGACCCCUUUAUCUACUGGACCAACAAAAGGAGACACUGUUGUUAGUGCUGCUGAUCAAGCUAAGGACAUGCACACGAUACCUUAUCAACAAGACAUUACACCUAGUUCAAACACAGGUAAACCUCCAUUCCAAGGUGCUCAGGAUGCAUCAAGGCAGGAAAUUAUUCCUGAUGAUGGGCCAGUGGGAAAUUAUUCUCCUAAACCUGGAGCACAGACACAGCCGCCUGCAGCAAUUCUAGAUGUAUCACCAUAUGCCUUGAGCAAGGCUAAAUCAACUGGGCAAGGAGCCAAGACACCAACAGGGCACCAAGCAUCUUCUCCGGGAACUCAGCUUGGUUCCUCACAAACACAAGGCAAGGAUACCCCAGAAGAACAAAAUAUUGCUGCAUCAGAUGAAAAUUCUGCCAACACCUCAAAAUCAUUUGACUCUGCUGAACCAAGGGGGGAAGAUAUUGAUGCUGCUACUGCUGAUCAAACAACUGUACCACCGGCAAAUGUUACUCGUCAGGUCAUAAGCUCAACACCAGAUGCUAGUAAAACUUUAGUAAGAGAUUUGGAAUCCUCUCGUGAUAAUGGCCAAAUCAGAAAUUUGGGAAGCCCACUUAUUGCUAGCCAAGAAGCAGCCUCCCGUGCUGGGCAUACUUCUGAUGAUGGAUCUACUCCUGAAGUGCAUAGUACCAUUGUAGAUGAGAAGAAGACACUUCCAUCUAGCCAAGAAAAAUCUUCAAGCACUGGGCCUAAUUCAACACAAAUUGGUGGUGAUGCUCGUGUGCUAGCCACAAGCUCUAUAGAGAAGCAAGAGGCAGAACCUCCUGCAGGAACACAAGCACCAGCUUCUAAGGGUCUACAAGACUCUGGAAAUAUCAAGUCACCAAGACAAGCCUUAACUGAUCAAAUCGUGACACCUGCGAAGAACUCAGCGGCACCAUCUGAUGCUCUAGAAGGUCCAAAUUCUUCUCGAUCCGUACAGACCCCUUUAUCUACUGGACCAACAAAAGGAGACACUGUUGUUACUGCUGCUGACGAAGCUAAGGACAUGGAAACAAUAACUUACCAACAAGCCAUUACACCUGUUUCCGACACAGCUAAACCUCCAUUCCCAGGUGCUCAGGAUGCUUCAAGGCAUGGAAGUGUUCCUGAUGAUGAGCCAGUGGGAAAUUAUUCUCCUAAACAGACACAGCCACCUGCAGAAAUUCUAGAUGUAUCACCGUAUUCCUUGAGCAAGGCUAAAUCAACUGGCCAAGGAGCCAAGACACCAACAGGGCACCAAGCAUCUUCUCCGGAAACUCAGCUUGGUUCCUCACAAACACAAGGCGAAGCUGCCCCAGCAGAACAAAAAUUUGCUGCAUCAGAUGAAAAAUCCGCCAAGGCCUCAAAAUCAUUUGACUCUGCUGAACCAAGGGAAGAUACAGAUGCUGCCACUACUGACCAAACGAUUGUACCACCGACAAAUGUUACUCAGGUCACAAGCUCAACACCAGAUGCUAGUGAUACUUUAUCAAGAGUUCAGGAAUCCUCUCCUCACGAUGGUCAGAUCAGAAAUUUGGGGAACCCACUUAUUGCUAGUCAAGAAGAAGCCUCUCGAGCGGGAGGUGAAGGAUCUCUUGAAGUGCAUAGUAACAUUGUAGAUGAGAAGAAGACACUUCCAUCUAGCCAAGCACAAUCUUCAAGCACCGGAUCUGAUUCAACACAGAUGGGUGGUGAUGCUGGUCUUAGUGAUGCUGGUGUGCCAGCCACAAGCUCUAUAGAGAAGCAAGAGGCAGAACCUCCUGCAAGAACACAAGCACCAACUUCGAAGGGUCUACAAGACAUUGGAAAUAUUGAGUCACAAGGACAAGCCUUAACUGAUCAAACCGUGGCACCUAAGAUGAACUCAGCAGCAGCAUCUGAUGCUCCAGAAGGUACUGAACUAGGUCCAAAUUCUUCUCGAUCCGUACAAACUCCUUUUUCUACUGAGCCAGCAGAAGGAGAAACAAAUUCAACCAAUGAAGAAUCCAAGUCGCAACAGAAAGUUGGCCAGUUUGGUACUCAAUCAUUUAAAGAUAACAACAAAGAAGCUGAUGGAACAGUAAGGUCUAAUAUAUCGAGAUCAACUGAGGAACUCCAAGAACCACCUUCGAGGCCUAAGGGAGAAUCAAGUGAAGAACCAGAGAACCAACAACUGGCUGACCAAGCUAUUGUUAAACCACUAGAGGGUAAUGAGCAGCAAGCUGAACAGACAAAACCACAUGAGACUGCAAUUGCUGAGGAUUCGGAAAAUACCAAUCUGAAGAACAACAGAAUAUCACAAGUGGAAACUUUAGAUUCAUCAGGAAAGCAAGCCUCAGUAUUUCAGCAGCUAGGAAAGAACACAAAAGAUGCCCUCAACUCAACUGAGGAUGCACCAGGUGAUGGAAAAGCAGUUAGUAAAUCCGAGCACAGCUCGAGAUCUGAAGAAUCCAAGGUGCAGCUACAGUCUGAAGACAAGGCACGAGUUCCUGGAACUGAUGCACCAAGCUUAGAAACUGGGCAUCCUAGCAACGGAGGCCUUCAAGCAAAUAGCUAUCAGGAUAACAGUAGCCAAUCUCAGGAAGAAGCUUCAAACAAAUCUGUCGAGCAAUCUUCUGGUAUUCGGAACAAAGACAAUGACUCCAGCAGAUUGGAUGACUCGACCGGCUCCACCAAGACCGAGAGUUGAAAAACUAAGCCCUGGUAAUUGAUAAACCUUUGUGCUAUGGUUCAUCGACCAACACAUUAUGUGAGCAAGUGUUUUGCGAAUUCAUCGCUUUUCAAUUUUUACCCUUUUUUCUCAUUUGCUUAUCCGUUGUAAGUCUAAUAAGGUCAGCUCUGCUGUCAUCGUUGGGUUAUGCCCCCUGUAUUCUUGUGUUGUUCUUGUCCAAGUACAUUUUUACCUUUGAACAAUGAGUGAGAAUGCAAUGAUGUCGCCAUUCCUGUAUAUUAUCACUUACAUGUUUUUACAACAACAACCCAGCCUUCUAGA
rnacentral:misc_RNA from 1 species